GGAGAGAUGUCCGAGGGGCCGAAGGAGCACGACUGGAAAUCGUGUGUACCCCAUAAGGGUACCGUGGGUUCAAAUCCCACUCUCUCCGCCA
rnacentral:tRNA from 2 species